UAUGUUUUAGUAUAUGAUGUACAGAAAUUUUUGAUAUUUCAAGAGAUGGUUUAAUUCCAUUAGAUGUAA
rnacentral:tRNA from 1 species